GUCGAGCGGACCCUUCGGGGUUAGCGGCGGACGGGUGAGUAACGCGUGGGAAUAUGCCCUUCUCUACGGAAUAGUCCUGGGAAACUGGGGGUAAUACCGUAUACGCCCUUUGGGGGAAAGAUUUAUCGGGGAAGGAUUAGCCCGCGUUGGAUUAGGUAGUUGGUGGGGUAAUGGCCUACCAAGCCGACGAUCCAUAGCUGGUUUGAGAGGAUGAUCAGCCACACUGGGACUGAGACACGGCCCAGACUCC
rnacentral:rRNA from 1 species